rnacentral:tRNA from 1 species
AUAAAAAGGUGAUAGAGUGGUUAUAUGAUUGUCUUGAAAUCAGUUUAUGUGGGUUCAAUUCCUACCCUUUUUG